rnacentral:rRNA from 1 species
CCACGGGGGGCAGCAGUGGGGAAUAUUGGACAAUGGGCGAAAGCCUGAUCCAGCCAUGCCGCGUGUGUGAAGAAGGCCUUCGGGUUGUAAAGCACUUUCAGUGGGGAAGAAAGCCUUGGGGCUAAUACCCUCGAGGAAGGACAUCACCCACAGAAGAAGCACCGGCUAACUCCGUGCCAGCAGCCGCGGUAAUACGGAGGGUGCGAGCGUUAAUCGGAAUUACUGGGCGUAAAGCGCGCGUAGGCGGUCUGAUAAGCCGGUUGUGAAAGCCCCGGGCUCAACCUGGGAACGGCAUCCGGAACUGUCAGGCUAGAGUGCAGGAGAGGAAGGUAGAAUUCCCGGUGUAGCGGUGAAAUGCGUAGAGAUCGGGAGGAAUACCAGUGGCGAAGGCGGCCUUCUGGACUGACACUGACGCUGAGGUGCGAAAGCGUGGGUAGCAAACAGGAUUAGAUACCCCUGUAGUC